UACGGGGGGGGUAAGCGUUGUUCGGAAUUACUGGGCGUAAAGGGCUCGUAGGCGGCCAACUAAGUCAGACGUGAAAUCCCUCAGCUUAACUGGGGAACUGCGUCUGAUACUGGAUGGCUUGGAUUUGGGAGAGGGAUGCGGAAUUCCAGGUGUAGCGGUGAAAUGCGUAGAUAUCUGGAGGAACACCGGUGGCGAAGGCGGCAUCCUGGACCAACAUUGACGCUGAGGAGCGAAAGCUAGGGGAGCAAACGGG
rnacentral:rRNA from 1 species